rnacentral:rRNA from 1 species
UACGUAGGUGUCAAGCGUUGUCCGGAUUUAUUGGGCGUAAAGCGCCCGCAGGCGGCUUGCCAAGUUCGAUGUGAAAUCUCCCGGCUCAACUGGGAGGGUGCAUCGAAAACUGGCAGGCUUGAGGCAGGGAGAGGGAUGUGGAAUUCCAGGUGUAGUGGUGAAAUGCGUAGAUAUCUGGAGGAAUACCGGUGGCGAAGGCGGCAUCCUGGACCGGCAUUGACGCUGAUGAGCGAAAGCUAGGGGAGCAAACGGG